UUUCUUUCAAGCCCCAAACUGGAAGAUCGCAUCUUCUAGACCUGGAUGUCAAGUAGGCACCUCAACUUCAUGAGUACUUGCAUCACUACAUAGUGCUCUUCCCCAUUCUGUCCCCAAUAGCAGAAUGUAGAGAGAGGAGAAGGGGGAGGAGGGAGGGAGGGAGGGAGGGAGGGAGAAAAAGAAUCGUUAUCCACCCUAGGUUUGCACUUUCUGCGCUCUGUCUGAUGAGCCGUACACUACGGGGGACAGUUCUGUUUUUUCUCUAAACUCCAGGCAGCCUCAGGGCACUGCCGGAGGGACGGCUGAUUGCAGAUUUCUGAUGGCCAAAUAGGCCACACUAAUAGGAGCGCUCGGAGAACAAAGCAACAGCCAGCGUACGCCGCUGCGCGCUUGACCGCUUCUUUGCGACAGUUGCCGUAAAGCGAGGCCUCCGCCGCAGCUCUAGAGUUAGGUAAGAUGAGGGCACCGGGGCCGGGUAGCCGAGCCUGGGCGUGGGCGGGUUCCUUCAGGCACUGUCGCUGGUCUACUGGUAUACCCUGAGUAGCGGUCGUCCACCUUUGGGGUACCCUCCCUACGGCGGCGGGGAGGAGUCCGAGGUCGGCCGCAGUCCGUGCACGAGCUUGCUGCCGCCGUCCCCGCUGUCCCGGCGACAGAUCGUUCCCACACGCCCAUGCUGUCCGUUGAUCGUCCUGACCCGCGAGGGUUCGAUUUUGGAGGUUCAUGGAGACGCUUAAGAGGCCGGGCUGGGACAGUGACGCUUGAGCUGGUUGGCGAGAGCGGACGAUGCGGGGAGACCGAUCAGAAGUAUCUCUGGUCACAGGAAACAAGAUUCUGUUUCAUGAAGAAGAUGAAAACAACUGGGCUACUGUUAAAAACCACCCAAGAGAACACCAUAGACCAAUGAGUAGAAUCAAUAAGAACGUGGUCUUGGCCCUUUUAACAUUGACGAGUUCUGCCUUUCUGCUGUUUCAGCUGUACUACUACAAGCACUAUUUGUCUGCAAGGAAUGGACCGGGUUCAUCAAAAUCCAAAGGGAAUCGAGUUGGAUUUGAUAGCACACAGUGGCGUGCAGUUAAGAAAUUUAUUAUGCUGACAUCCAGCCAAAAUGUGCCAGUGUUCCUUAUUGACCCAUGGAUUCUGGAAUCAAUUAAUAAAAACUUCGAACAAGUGAAAAAUGCUUCUCAAGGCCCGGCUUCAGAAUGCAGAUUUUUCUGUGUUCCGAGAGACUUCACUGCGUUCGCACUGCAGUAUCACCUGUGGAAGAAUGAGGAUGGCUGGUUUCGGAUAGCUGAGAAUAUGGGGUUUCAAUGCCUAAAGACUGAAAGCAAGGAUCCUCGGCUAGAUGGAAUAGACUCACUUUCUGGGACUGAAAUCCCUCUGCACUACGUCUGUAAGCUGACCACUCAUGCCAUCCACUUGGUAGUCUUUCAUGAGAGGAGUGGCAACUACCUCUGGCAUGGUCACCUACGACUCAAAGGACACAUGGAUAGGAAGUUUGUUCCUUUUCGAAAGUUACAGUUUGGUCGUUAUCCUGGAGCCUUUGACAGGCCAGAGUUACAGCAAGUUACUGUUGAUGGACUAGAUAUGCUUAUUCCGAAAGACCCAGGGCGCUUUCUAGAAGAAGUACCUCACUCCAGAUUUAUCGAGUGCAGGUAUAAGGAAGCUCGGGCGUUCCUCCAGCUGCGUAUGAUGGCACAUGCCUGUAAUCUUCAUGUUUGGAAAGCCAGGGCCGGAGGAUUGCCAAAAGUUCCAGGCAAGCCAAGGCAUAUGGCAAGACCAAUUUAAAGACAACAACGAAAGUCCACAUUCACAUCUUGCUGGUUGUCCUCAUAAUAGGUUUGUAUUGAAAGGAUUCUGUUUACAAUCACAUGCUAUACUGAUUUCCUGUUUCUUUAAUUUCUUGUAGUCUGUGCUGGGUUCUCUACCAGUUUGGGUAACUACUCUCAUAGCUUUGAUAAUUUUGGAGGUUAUAUUAUUUUGUAGACUGUCCCUCUGGUUUUCCUCAUAAAGAGCAUGGCAGUGCUGCUAUGCUUGCUCUUCUCAUUAUGUCCCAGAAGGUGCUACCUGACCCCCUGUUACUGCUUCUCGCCUGGCUUUUCCUGAGGAAGCGUGAACAAUUAGUGUUCACCCCAGAUAGGACACUAACAGCACACUGAAAACCGAUUCCACCCGAGUCUAGCGUGGUGAACCCCUGAGUUUGUUAAGGUUACUUCCGAGACCAUGGGUGAGAAGUUCCAGGAGUCUGAUGUCUCUGUCAGCUGCAUCACCACGAAGCUCACCUCUGUGUGAGGAACACUUAGAAAAGCUGUGUACCCUGAAGUUCCACACAGCACCAGGGGGCAUCAUCAGUCUCAGCACCUACUAUGACUGCCUAGGGGCAAGGCCUUGGGGAUCUCCUGAGACCUUUAGUUCUCAUGACUUCUCGAGUCCUGUGGCCUCCCUUCUCCCUCUGGCGGGAAUGUUCAGAGGAAGGCCACAGAACACUGCUGGGGUUGCAUCCUGCCUCUUACCUGCUGCCUUCACUUUUGUGCUAUUGCAUUUUUCCCUUUGUAAUCAGAAGCAUUUGUUUGCAAGCUACUUUGUAACUAUUAAAAUAUUAUAUUUCUUAUCAAAUUUAUUGUUAAGAUAAGAGACUCAUGGUUUCCUGUUUAAUGAGUUAUUUUAAUCUUCAGAUUGGUCCACAUUUGGCCAGUUAAAAACUCUUCCGGAUAGCUUUUGUAUCUUCUGGCUUAUCUCAUUCUUUCUUCCAUUUUAGUAAAAUACAGAUAUUCUAGGCUCAUCCUGUGAUUUUCCUAUCCCAGCUCUGGGGUCAGCCAUUUCUCCUGAGUCCUUGUAGAAGCCGACAUCUGGGGAGUAGGUAGUAUGCCCAUUGCUCUUUGGGUUUUGCUGUACACAGCUGUCUCACUUAAUAGAAACAUUGUGCAUAUGUCUGUAUAUAUUUAUUUCUGUGUCUAUUUGAUGAAAUCUGUAAAUUCAAAUCAUUAUUUCCACCCUGAUUAAGUUAUAAGAGCUAGCUAAACAACAUUGGAUAACCUAUCAGGGGACUGGAGAAAACUGUUUGUCCAUCUGUUAGCAGCCAUUCACUGCCUAUAGCUCUUCAUCUAGGGAUUAGGGCCUUAUGAGAUUUCUCCCAUCCACACUGUAAUGUCAGUGGUACUCAUUGUACCUGUAGUCCUGUUGAGGUGACCAUAUUGUUAAAGUUUGGGGGUUCAUGUCGUGUCCUCUAUAGAGGAUGCUGUCUGACAGUGUGAUCUUUUCACUCUGAGUCCUGCCCCUCUUCCAUAGAACAGGGAUUGGGUUGUACAUGUAUUGGCUGAGCUAGGCACCCCACGUUCAGUUCUCUGCAUUGUGGCUAACUGUGACUCUCUAUGGUGGUCUCCAUGUGACGUAGAAAGAAGCUUCAUUGAUGAGGGGUGAGAGCUAUGCUUACUGUGGCUGCAAGGCAAAUACUCGUAUUCAGAAUUCAGUAGAAUUACACUGGCUUAGGAAAGGGGCAGUAGUAGGUUCUCCUCUAGGCUCCAUGACCUCUUUCCUCCCCUGGCCGGGUUUACAAAACCAGGCACGAGAUCCUUCCUACUGAGCAAGCCUUAAGUCCAAUUAGGUGGCUGUUGGUUACUCCCAAGAUGUAAGUGCCACUGUGGAAUCCUUGGUGGCAUCUCGCCAUGCGGCUCAUUGAUGUGGUGUAGGGUUUGUAGUUGAGUAAGGCUGUUACUGCUUUUCUCCUUUGCAGUUUGCAUGAGCACCUUCAGAUGCUAUGAGAGGCAGUCCUCAGGAAUAAGGCUUCCAGGUCAUUUUUAGCUAGAUUCCUCUGAGUCCCGUGAAUAAAGUGUGUAGUGUCUUCAGCUAGUGCCUUCCCUUCAUGUUCUGAAAGGCAACCAAGGACAAUGGCUUAUAUCGUUUGGGAGUUUCUUGGACUCCUCUGAUCAACAGCUUGAAGAAAGGUUUCUCAUAAGGCAAGAAUUUUUUAACAGAAAGGAAAAUUGUAGCCUCAAGAUAUCACUUAACACUGUCAUAUUGGCUUAGCAUGUAGUCUACAUGGCAGCUGGGUCUGUAAACUUUAGCUCUAGGCAUUCCUUAUAACAAGCAUAGGAACAUAUAUCUCCCAAUCCAGUCGUGUGCUCUAAAAAAAGCAGUGGCUCAGGAAAGGGAUAUUUUAUUUCAGGAGAUUCUUUAUAGUUUGCUUAAUCCAUAAGAACAAUUUACCUGCAAGGAGCGCUCCUUCAUAAGACACUUUGUUCCUGAAGAGAGCCAUUUAGUGGUUCCAUUCCUUAUUGUCCCAGUGACAUCUCUGUAAACUGUAUCUCUCCUGCAUUCUUGUAAAGGAACCCAGUUACUUUAGGACAUUGUCAGAAGUAGUUACUUCCUCCUUUAGUCUCCCUACAGUAUUUGCUGCUCACCUCCUCAGGAGCACACGACAUUCCAGCGUUAUAGAUUCCGUGGGGAGAAGUGCGGUGCCUGCUCUCGUGUGUACAGCCUCACUGAGGAGACUGAGACAAAACCAACAGUAACAACUAAAGUAAGAAUGAACAUGCGGGGCCAGAGAGACAGCUCAGUGGUUAAAAGCGCUGGUUCUCCUCCAGAGGACCAAAGUUUGAUGCCCAGCACCCACGUGGCGGUUCACAACCAUCUAUAACCUCAAGAGAUUUCAUGUUCUCUUCUAUCUCCAUGGAUACCAGCAGUACAUUGAUGAUAAUACUGUGGAUGCUAUGGUCUUUCGAAAGAGGGCAAAGGAGUUACUGCAACUAGCAGCCAAGACGCUGAAGGACCUGGGAGUGCCCUUCUGGCUGAGCAGUGGGACUUGUCUAGGAUGGUAUCGGCAGUGCGGUAUUAUUCCUUACAGCAAAGAUGUCGACUUAGGGAUUUUUAUACAAGAUUACAAACCUGAUAUUAUUUUGGCAUUUCAGGAAGCAGGACUUCCACUCAAACACAAGUUUGGGAAGGUGGAAGACAGCUUGGAACUAUCCUUCCAGGGGAAAAAUGAUGUAAAACUUGAUAUUUUUUUCUUCUAUGAAGAGGCUGACCAUCUGUGGAAUGGAGGCACGCAGGCCAGAACGGGAAAAAAGUUUAAGUAUCUGUUUCCCAAGUUUACACUGUGCUGGACUGAGUUUGUAGACAUCAAAGUGCAUGUUCCCUGUGAAACGGUUGACUACAUUGAAGCCAACUAUGGUAAGACCUGGAAGAUUCCUAUCAAGACAUGGGACUGGAAGAGCUCACCCCCGAAUGUGCAGCCCAAUGGCAUCUGGCCUAUUUCGGAGUGGGAUGAGGUUAUCCAGUUGUACUGAGAAAACUAAGCUCAGGUGGCACAUUUCCCAGAAAGAAGGCGGGUAACUGUUUAAAGCACUACUGGUUUUUUGCCUGAUGUGAGAGCCAAAGAAGAGAAAUGACAAGUUAGAAGACAGAAAAGGUUUUCUGAUUCAUGGGCCAUCUAAUUAGUUCUGCCAUUCAGCAUUUCCUGAGGAGUUGAUGCACCAGGUGGAAUACGAGGAGCUGGUGAAUGAGCGAAUGCCAGCCUCUCUUGUCCUGUUGGUAAGCACUACAGUUUUCUUUUGAAAGAAACUUACUCACCCUCUGAAGAGCUGGUACACGAUAUGAUGUAUUCCAUCAUAAUUUUUAAAAUGUUAAUUAAUCUUUAUGCUGGAAAGUGAGCUCAUCGGAUGAAGCUUACAAAGGAUAUGUUAGUUAAGAAUAAUUCACUCCUGCCUGUCCUCAGGAUUUUUAGUGCUGCUUUUAAGGUUGUAGAACAUGAGUUAAUAUUCCAGUGAGUGAUUAGACUUUGUCUCACAGAGAAAAGAUGGUAGCAAACUCAUUUUAUAAGCAGUGUGGUACACAGUUGGCUUCAAGCACAGGGGGUUCUAUAAGGGAAGAUGAGAGCCCAUAUCAGCUAUUGUCAAGACAUACACUGUUCUCAUAUCUGAAGUGGACAGUGGGUGCUUAGAUGAUGCUUGAAUGCCUGACAUCAUAGGAUAUUUUCCCUGACCUGCAGUGGUACUUGCUGAUAAAUCAUCCAGUCAUGCUAUCCGAAAGGUGUGACAUCCCAAAGCUUACUUUCCUUAUUUCAUUUUCAAUCAUUCUUAGAUUUAAAAAUGGAAGUUAUUCAUGAAUAUUUUUAUAUUUUAUGAAUGUAUAACUCUUCUGCCCUUAAUUUUAAUAUUCACACUAAAUACUAAUAGACAUACCUCUGAAUUUUUAAAAAAAUACUCUUUAUUUAUUUAUCAACCAUAGCUCCAUGUUUAAUUUAUGGCCUACAUAAUAAUUUAUUUAGCAUAAAGAUAUGACUGUUCUUCUAUUCCAAUAUUACUUCAAGUUUCCAAAAUGGAAGGUUAACAUGAACCUGGAAACUAUUCCUUUUUCCAGAUCACUGUCUUUAAAGCCUGUGUCCAUCUCUAGAUUUUUCAUUCUGCUGUGUGUAAGAGGGCAAGGACUUCCUACUGCCAAGUACUGCACAUGUGGGACCCCUUGAUUUUCUUUUUCUUCUCAAAAUACACCCAUGAGUAGGUUGGGGUAGCUGUGCACUCUCAGUGAGAGAUGACACAGUGAAUGCCUGUCUUCCUGGCCUGGAAGGGGAGGGGCUCUGCUCCCUGCUGCUUAGGGAUGUGCUUCAGGGCCGCCCUGCAGAUCUCCCUUGGAAUGUGUAGUCACUAAAACGAACAAGAGUAGCUGAGGGAAUGGGCUGGCAGAAAGUAAAAGAAGGAAAGAAAAAGAAAAACUUGGAGCCGGGUUUAAUCCCAGCACUCAGGAGGCAGAGGCAGGCAGAUUUCUGAGUUCAAGGCCAGCCUGGUCUACAAAGUGAGUUCCAGGACAGCCAGAGCUAUACAGAGAAACCCUUUCUCGAAAAAACAACAACAACAACAACAAAAAAAAAAAAAAACCCAAAAAACCCCCAAAACAACAACAAAAAAAUGAAGGAAGUAACUUAAAGCCAGCUACUUCCAAAUUUUAAUUUCAACAUGAAAACUGUCUUUGUUGUAUGACAAGCAGCAGUCUGUUAGGAUGCAGCCUCUCUGUAGGAAUAUUGUCUCUCCAUAUGCAUCUCAUCAGAUUGCUGUAAUUAUUAGCAAACUUGUACCCAAAUAACAGAUCAUAAUCAGUUCUUUCCUAGAAAAUAAGUCCAUAGAAUAUGUAUCCAAGUUUUAGAUAGCCAACCCUAUAUAUUUUUAUGCACCUAGAAACAAAACAAAACAAAACAAAAAUCAAAAACAAAACAAACCCAGUAACAACAACCAGAUAACAGUGUCCUUGAGGACAAAGCCACCCUAUCUGGAGAGGGUCAUUUGCUUGUACUCAAUAUCAAGGAGUAGGCGUGUUUACAUCACGUUCCUUGAGAGCUCCCACCUUCUGCCAGGAGAUCUUACCCACCCCUGCUCCAGGUUCUUCUCUCACGUCUAUCAUUGGAGGGCAAGGUCUGCUAGUGUCCAGAAUACAAACUCUCUUGGUCCUGUGCAGAGGUUCUGCAGUCUUCCCUCCAUAGACGAUGGGCAAACUUGUCUUCACCCUGGUUUAGCUUUAGCUUUUAGGUUCUGCCCCACCUUGGAGAAAGUUUCCCAGAAUUUGCAGGUGAGGUUUACGUCUGAAAAUACCUCCAUGAUUCAGUCAUACUGAAGCCAGUGCUCUUGACCUUGGAGCUCUGAUGAGUGGCCCAAGACCUUGGGUCGGGGGUGCCCAGCACCUGACUGACCCUUUGCAGAUCAGUUUUCUUCCCUCCCUGAGUACGCUAACUUUAUUCUCCUAACGCGACUACUGUCUGCUGCCAUUUGCCUGGCUUGCUUGAAGAUACCUUUUAUAUUAACUUGUUCUCACGUCACCGAGGAUAGUCCCAGGGAGACCCUGAGAAGCAGACACGUUGUCAGUUUCUGACAGCCAGCUACUUCCCUAAGCAUGGACAACUUGCCUCGCCUUCUCUUGGCUACAGUUACCGACCUUGGCCACUGAGGUAAAAUAAUAGUAACUGAAACCGGGCAUCCCUAAGAGUAGCUGGGAUCAGGUCUUUGUGGAGCCUCCAUGGCACCUCAGUGCGUGAUGAGUUUUCCAGCGUCUCAGUGGCGUGUGGGGACAAAAUUGCUGAGCAGAGAUAUUCCUUCUUCUCCAGAAUCCUCAGGCUACCUUCUUACCUUGAUUGGGUUGGGUGGGGGAGACAGUUUCUGUCUGAAGACAUUACCUGUGGUUUCUGACUCUUGAAAUGUUUAACGGAUUAAAUGAGAUGUAUAAGGUGCUUCCAUUCAGGACCAGGGUUAAGUAAGUACUCAUGAGACGUGCCGCUUCCUCAUUCACUGUUCCUUCGUAACUUGGAAGACCGCACAACAGAGUUGCUUAGAAAUAAAAUUGGAGCUGAGGCUCUGGUGAGAUGGCUUAGCAGGUGAAAGCACUGUCACCAAGUCUGACAUGAUUUUGAUCCCCAGGACCCAUAUAGUGGAAGGAGAGAACCUCAAAUUGCCUGUCCUCAAAUACACAGGCUCUGAUGUGCUCGGAGCUCCUCUCCAGCACAAGAGGACACCAAACACACACACACACACACACAUGAGUAAAUAAAUAUAAAGAAAAGUUUUUACUGUAUCUAAGCAUUACAGGUCAAAUUAUGUGAUUUAUGAAUUCAGAGUCAUUGCUACGUUACCUCCCCCUGAAGCAGAGCCGGCCGGUUCUCAUUUAGUUGAUCAAGUUGCUGUCUUCUAGUCCUAACGCAUUGCACUGUUUCCUUUCAAGCCCAGUCAGAUUACUCUUAAACUGUGUGCCUAGUCUGAUAUGGACUUGCCUUUCUGUAAUCUAGCUUUGGGCAGCAAGCAUCACUAUAUAUAAUGAUUUGCAGAACCAAAGAUUUUGGAAUGCUUCGUUUUAUUUAACUACCUGCUCUGUAUGAAAUGUGGCUUAGUGGUACACUAAUUGCCCAGCAUGUGUGAGGUCUGGAUUCAGUACAAAGCACCAGAAGUCAGAGACCGAAGGCUUACCACAUGCUUGGGCUCCCUAGUGAAUACCAGCCUAUCCUGGGCUACAGUGUAAGGCCCUGUAUUGAGGGAGGACAAAGGAGGGGAGAGAAAGAGAGACAGAGAUAGAAUGAGAAUAAAUCUGCCCACAGAUUUAGGUUUUUAUCUAAGCUAGGCAAAAUAGCAGGAUAUAUAAUGCUAUUUUAAGUAGUCAGUUGUAGGCGGCAGACCAACUCGGUGUCAAUGCCUUUUGUGUAGGACCAAUCGGCAAGUAUACAUUCCCUGAGAAGUUUGUUCCCACACCUUCAGAACACCUAGGCUAAAAUGCUGCUUCUAUAAUUCCUGGACCUAACCUAAGAGAAUUUCUCUGAGGGCCCAUUUAGUCAUCCAGACUUCUGUCUACUUACGAGUAGCUUUCGCAGAAGGGCACUGUCAUAUAAAGUAGUCUGUCAUGCACUUUACAAAUUAUAAGCUUGUACAGCCUUAUGACAGUUUAUUCUAAGCAUGAAAACUGGUUCAUGAGUUUAUUAAAUGUAGCUCUGUCAGCCUGUGGCAUAUGACUGUGACACAUGUAUGUGAAUCUUCUGGACAAGGUUAUGUUUUAAACAUGAAAUUUCAGUAUAUGCUUACCAGUUUAAUAUUUGGUUUUAUCUUCAGGUAUAGUUUAUGGUACUACUGAAAAUAGUUUUAAUAUUAUUACUCUGAUCUGAAUUUGUAAUAUACAAUCUACUUUGAGAUGAUUAAUAAAAAUUUUUAAUCUCUUG